UUCUUCGUGAACAUGGCGAACUGCUCAGUAACACGUGGAUAAUCUACCCUUAGGUCUGGAAUAACCCCGGGAAACUGGGGAUAAUACCGGAUAGAUCAUAGAUGCUGGAAUGCCCUAUGUUCUAAAGCUCCGGCGCCUAAGGAUGAGUCUGCGGUCUAUCAGGUUGUAGUGGGUGUAACGUACCUACUAGCCGACGACGGAUACGGGUUGUGAGAGCAAGAGCCCGGAGAUGGAUUCUGAGACACGAAUCCAGGCCCUACGGGGUGCAGCAGGCGCGAACACUUUACAAUGCGGGAAACCGCGAUAAGGGAACCCCGAGUGCCAGCACCAAGUGUUGGCUGUCCAGAUGAUUAAAUCUCAUUUGUUAGCAAGGGCCGGGCAAGACCGGUGCCAGCCGCCGC
rnacentral:rRNA from 1 species